GAUGCAACAUAAAAAUUUCAGAGACAGAAGAAAUCUUCCUUUGAGGGCAGUGAUACACUUAUGUGAGAUUUUGAAAAGUGAAAAAUCAAAGGUGGAAUUGACCAGUAGAUGUAAAAGUACAACAAAUAAACAAAAAUGGCAAUGUUGAAAGUGAAACUGAAAUUCAACAGAAAUAAAAGAAAUAGCAGACUGGGGGGAUAUUGACUUUGACACCAUGAUGCCAGAGGAACUUAGUGAUGGCAAACUUAUCAAUAUAAAAUGAGGAUAUUGGUUGUCAACUAGGAUUGAAAUGCUGUUUUUCUUCCCUGGUACAAUGUUAAAGCUUUAAACUCUUGUCAAUGAUGUGAUGUUUCAUCUGCAAUGAUCUACACUAGAAAAAUAAAAAUGUAGUUACUGACAAAAAAGCAGGAACUACUGCUCUAAGGAAAAAAGGACAGCUACAUGAGGACCACACAACUCCUGGAAGAGGUUUCCCUGGCAACACAACUUUUCCAUUCAUCUGGUUGCAGUGUUUUCAUCCAGUAGCCUGUCACCUCACUCAAAAGCAGGGCAAUGGAGAGAAAGAAACUUACCAAGUUUUUUCUUUUAACUAGAGAGUAGCCUACUUAUUGGGCCCUGCAAUUAAUUUCAGUACUCCAGGCAGAUUUAUAAAGGAAGCUGCUGGAAGGAAUUCAUUCCCUUUUUGCUGUUCUGCCUUCCACCUUCCACUGUGUGAGGACACUGCAAGAAAGCCCUCAUCAGACACCAACUGCCAGCACCUAGAUCUUGGAAUUCUCAGCCUCCAGAACUGUGAGAAACACGUUUCUGUUUUUCUAUAAAAUAAUAAUAAUAAAAAACUUCCAUGCAGGAAAAAAAAUCAAGUUCAAAGGUCCUGUGGUGAGGGCAUACCAGCUUUGUUUGAGAAGCAGUAAUCAUGCCUGUGUGACUGUAAUGAAAGAAUAAAAGAGAAAUGAGCACAGAAGAAUA
rnacentral:lncRNA from 10 species